GUGCUCGCUUCACCAGCACAUAUACUAAAAAUUGAAAUGAUACAGAGAUUAGCAUGGCCCCUGAGCAAG
ensembl:snRNA U6 U6 spliceosomal RNA